UUUCCGUAGGUGAACCUGCGGAAGGAUCAUUAAUAAAUUUUUUUUUGAAAUAAAAAAAAAAAUAAUAAUCAUCCUACCCUUUGUGAAUUUGUUUUGUUGAAUAAUUUUUUAAAAUUAUUUAUUGUCUAUCCAAGUUGGAAAGUUGUAAAAAGACUAGAAGACUUGGAGCGGCAUAAAUAAAUUUUAAAGACUUUUUUCUAAAAUUAAACUUUUGUAUUCAUUUGUCUAAAAUAAUUUUUAUAAUAUAUAAAAACAACUUUUGACAAUGGAUCUCUUGGUUCUCGCAACGAUGAAGAACGCAGCAAAAUGCGAUAAGUAAUGUGAAUUGCAGAAUACGUGAAUCAUCGAAUCUUCGAACGCAUAUUGCACUUUUUUAGUUUACUAAAAAGUAUGUCUGUUUGAGUAUCAGUAAAAUAUUCUCAUAAAAUUUUUUAAUUUUAUGGUUAUGAGUGUUUUACAACGAUAAACAAGUUGUUUCACUUUAAAUUGAAUUUUUUUGAAGAAAUUCUUUAAUUCAAAUUAAAUUUGGAUAAAAUUUUCCCGUAAAAAGGAAUAACUAUACAAGUUUAAUAAGAAUUUAGUGAUUUCUUUUAUGAAAAGGAAAUUUAUUAAAUAACUUGAUCUCAAAUCAGAUAAGAGUACCCGCUGAACUUAAGCAUAUCAAUAAGCGGAGGAAAAGAAACUAACAAGGAUUCCCCUAGUAACGGCGAGUGAAGCGGGAAGAGCUCAAAUUUGAAAUCUUAAAGGGUUUCCCUUUACGAAUUGUAGUUUAAAGAAGUGUUUUCUGUUGAGGUUUUGGUAAAAGUUCUUUGGAAUAGGACAUCAUAGAGGGUGAGAAUCCCGUAUUUGACCUUUACUUUCAACUUUGUGAUACACUUUCAAAGAGUCGGAUUGUUUGGGAAUGCAGUCCAAAAUGGGUGGUAAAUUUCAUCUAAAGCUAAAUAUUGGCGAGAGACCGAUAGCGAACAAGUACCGUGAGGGAAAGAUGAAAAGAACUUUGAAAAGAGAGUUAAACAGUACGUGAAAUUGUCAAAAGGGAAGCGUUUGACACCAGUGUUGUUUUUCUGAAAAUCAAUUAAAGAACUGUUUAUGCUAAGUUGUUUAGACUUUAUCAGCUAACUGUUUAGUUUUGAGCUUUUCUUUAAUGCACUUUUCAGUUAACAAGUCAACAUCAAUUUCUUUUGCUGUAAAAAAGCUUGAGGAAGGUGGCUUGAGAUUCGUCUUAAGUGUUUAUAGCCUCUUGCCUAUGCAGUCGGAGAGAUUGAGGUCUGCAGCGUAGAUCCUUCGGGGCUAAAUGCAUUUGUGCUAAGUUAUAGCAUUUUAUAGACAACUUGUUGACUAUGAUUUGUCUUGUAGCUUACUCGCUUAUGUUAUUUUACCUACGCUUAGGAUGUUGACGAUCAGCUGAGCGCGAAUUACGAAUGGCGGGAUUCUAAGUUUCAUGACCUUAAAAGCUUGUUUCUUUCUUUUCCUGUCUUUCUU
rnacentral:misc_RNA from 1 species